rnacentral:rRNA from 1 species
UGCAGUCGAACGAGAAACUGGUUUUUAAUCAGUGGACAGUGGCGAACGGGUGAGUAACACGUGAGAAACCUGCCCCGGAGACUGGGACAACCGUUGGAAACGACGGCUAAUACCAGAUACCCCCGAUUGGUCGCAUGGCCGAUCGAGGAAAUGCUCUGGCGCUUCGGGAGGGUCUCGCGGCCUAUCAGCUAGUUGGCGGGGUAACGGCCCACCAAGGCAACGACGGGUAGCUGGUCUGAGAGGACGAUCAGCCACACUGGGACUGAGACACGGCCCAGACUCCUACGGGAGGCAGCAGUGGGGAAAUAUUGCGCAAAUGGGCGAAAGCCUGACGCAGCAACGCCGCGUGAGGGAAGACGGCUCUCGGGUUGUAAACCUUCUUUCAGUGGAUGGACGAAAAUGACGGGUAAUCAACAGAAGAAGCUUCCGGCCAACCUAACGGUGCCCAGCCAGCCGGCGGUUAAUAACGUUAAGGGGAGCAAGGCGGUGGUCCGGGAUUUCAUUGGGGCGGUAAAAGAAGCUCGUAAGCGCGUUUGUGUAAAGUCAAGAUGGUGAAAACUCUCAGGGCUCUCACCCGGGAGAAACCCCUUCUGAUAUCUUGCACCUGGACUGGGAGUCCCGGGAGGGGGAAGCAUGGGAAUUCCUCGGGU